AAGUCGUAACAAGGUUUCCGUAGGUGAACCUGCGGAAGGAUCAUUAAUGAGUCGGGGUCUUUUGGCCCGAUCUCCAAAACCUUUGUCAAAUUUACCAUGUUGCUUUGGCGGGCCCGUCUUCGGACCUCCGGAAAUUGUUUGGAUUUCUGGUCAGUGCUCGCCAAUAGCCCCAUUAAAAUCGCUUUAAAUUUUGUCUGACAUGAAAUAUUUGAAUCAAACAAAACUUUCAACAACGGAUCUCUUGGUUCUG
rnacentral:misc_RNA from 1 species